ACACAGUGAGGGUUAUCAGCUGCCAGCUAGCGUCUGUUUACAGCUGAUACUGAGACACUGCUGCA
rnacentral:pre_miRNA from 1 species